rnacentral:tRNA from 2 species
GCGGGUGUCGCCAAGUGGUAAGGCAGUAGCUUCCCAAGCUACCAUUUCGUGGGUUCGAAUCCCAUCACCCGCU